GAUGAAGAACGUAGCAAAAUGCGAUAAGUAAUGUGAAUUGCAGAAUUCAGUGAAUCAUCGAAUCUUUGAACGCACAUUGCGCCCGCCAGUAUUCUGGCGGGCAUGCCUGUUCGAGCGUCAUUUCAACCCUCAAGCACAGCUUGGUGUUGGGACUCGCGUUAAUUCGCGUUCCUCAAAUUGAUUGGCGGUCACGUCGAGCUUCCAUAGCGUAGUAGUAAAACCCUCGUUACUGGUAAUCGUCGCGGCCACGCCGUUAAACCCCAACUUCUGAAUGUUGACCUCGGAUCAGGUAGGAAUACCCGCUGAACUUAAGCAUAUCAAAAGCGGAGGA
rnacentral:misc_RNA from 1 species